rnacentral:misc_RNA from 1 species
GGAGAUCCUAUUAUCCUUUGCUUUGUGGAUUUCGUAGAUCCAGCGUGUGCAGCUACUGCUUUAAGUGCAUUGCAAGGUUAUAAAAUGGAUGAACAUGACCAUGAUUCCGCCUAUUUGAGGUUGCAGUUCUCGAAGUUUCCAGGUCCGAGGUCUGGUGGCUCGGGCAGUCGUGGGAAACGAUAAAUAACACCCAUCAACUUCUUAUCUACAUAUUGCUCUCUGAAUUCACUUAUGUAUUAUGUAGUGUUUCUGGAAAUGUGCAAUUCGCAAUAGGCGCUAGCUAUGGUUACAGUAGUAAUAUACUGGCUAUUGGUUUUUUAAGCCAGUGGAACUUUGUUUCUGAGAUGGUACAACUUGAUAGGCAGAUGCAGGUUGUAGUACUAAACCUCUAG